rnacentral:lncRNA from 1 species
GAAGCCCACCUGCCCCAGAGGGUCCUGGAGGAUAGGACCUGUGGCGCUGGGGAAGGAAAGAUUCGUUGGUUCCUGGUCUGUGGAGGAAAACACUCUGGGACUCUCUCCGGGAGGAGCCGCUCUCCCAGACGCUCAGGAUCCCAGCUGGAUUCUCUGGCAUGGAAGAGAAGACAAAGAAAGUAGAGUUGGCUCAACCCAAGUCAAACCAACAGCUGUCCAGCAAAUUUGCCAACCACACCUGAGUGAAGUGGUGAACACCUGCAAUCCCAACUGCUUGGGAGGCUGAGGCAGGAAAACUGCAAGUUCAAGGACAACUUGGGCAACUUAGGGAAACCUUGUCUUAAAAUAAAACAGGACUGGGGGUGUAGCUCAGUGGCAGAGUGUUCCCGCCCCUAGGUUUAAUCCCUAGUACUGAAGAAAAAAAAAAAAACAGCCUGAG